GAUGAACGCUGGCGGCGUGCCUAAUACAUGCAAGUCGAGCGAACAGACUAGGAGCUUGCUCCUCUGACGUUAGCUGCGGACGGGUGAGUAACACGUGGAUAACCUACCUAUAAGACUGGGAUAACUUCUGGAAACCGGAGCUAAUACUGGAUAAUAUAUUGAACCGCAUGGUUCAAUAUUGAAAGACGGUUUUGCUGUCACUUAUAGAUGGAUCCGCGCCGCAUUAGCUAGUUGGUAAGGUAACGGCUUACCAAGGCAACGAUGCGUAGCCGACCUGAGAGGGUGAUCGGCAACACUGGAACUGAGACACGGUCCAGACUCCUACGGGAGGAAGAAGUAGGGAAUCUUCCGCAAUGGGCGAAAGCUUGACGGAGAAACGCCGCGUGAGUGAUGAAGGUCUUCGGAUCGUAAAACUCUGUUAUUAGGGAAGAACAAAUGUGUAAGUAACUAUGCACGUCUUGACGGUACCUAAUCAGAAAGCCACGGCUAACUACGUG
rnacentral:rRNA from 1 species